rnacentral:rRNA from 1 species
UACGUAGGGUGCAAGCGUUGUCCGGAAUUAUUGGGCGUAAAGAGCUCGUAGGCGGUCUGUUGCGUCGGCUGUGAAAACCCGAGGCUCAACCUCGGGCCUGCAGCCGAUACGGGCAGACUAGAGUUCGGCAGGGGAGACUGGAAUUCCUGGUGUAGCGGUGAAAUGCGCAGAUAUCAGGAGGAACACCGGUGGCGAAGGCGGGUCUCUGGGCCGAUACUGACGCUGAGGAGCUAAAGCGUGGGGAGCGAACAGG